CCUACGGGGGGCAGCAGUGAGGAAUAUUGGUCAAUGGGCGUAAGCCUGAACCAGCCAAGUCGCGUGAGGGAUGAAGGUUCUAUGGAUCGUAAACCUCUUUUAUAAGGGAAUAAAGUGUGGGACGUGUCCAGUUGUGUAUGUACCUUAUGAAUAAGGAUAGGCUAACUCCGGGCCAGCAGCCGCGGUAAUACGGAGGAUCCGAGCGUUAUCCGGAUUUAUUGGGUUUAAAGGGUGCGUAGGCGGCAUUUUAAGUCAGCGGUGAAAGUCUGUGGCUCAACCAUAGAAUUGCCGUUGAAACUGGGAGGCUUGAGUGUGUUUGAGGCAGGCGGAAUGCGUGGUGUAGCGGUGAAAUGCUUAGAUAUCACGCAGAACCCCGAUUGCGAAGGCAGCCUGCCAAGCCAUGACUGACGCUGAUGCACGAAAGCGUGGGUAUCAAACAGGAUUAGAUACCCGAGUAGUC
rnacentral:rRNA from 1 species